rnacentral:rRNA from 1 species
AACGAACGCUGGCGGCAUGCCUAACACAUGCAAGUCGAACGAAGCCUUCGGGCUUAGUGGCGCACGGGUGCGUAACGCGUAGGAAUCUGCCCUUUGGUUCGGAAUAACAGUUGGAAACGACUGCUAAUACCGGAUGAUGACGAAAGUCCAAAGAUUUAUCGCCAGAGGAUGAGCCCGCGUAGGAUUAGCUAGUUGGUGUGGUAAAGGCGCACCAAGGCGACGAUCCUUAGCUGGUCUGAGAGGAUGAUCAGCCACACUGGGACUGAGACACGGCCCAGACUCCUACGGGAGGCAGCAGUGGGGAAUAUUGGACAAUGGGCGAAAGCCUGAUCCAGCAAUGCCGCGUGAGUGAUGAAGGCCCUAGGGUUGUAAAGCUCUUUUACCCGGGAUGAUAAUGACAGUACCGGGAGAAUAAGCCCCGGCUAACUCCGUGCCAGCAGCCGCUGUAACAC